rnacentral:rRNA from 1 species
AAGCCUUUCGGGGUGGAUUAGUGGCGAACGGGUGAGUAACACGUGGGCAAUCUGCCCUUCACUCUGGGACAAGCCCUGGAAACGGGGUCUAAUACCGGAUAAUACUUCUGCCUGCAUGGGCGGGGGUUGAAAGCUCCGGCGGUGAAGGAUGAGCCCGCGGCCUAUCAGCUUGUUGGUGGGGUGAUGGCCUACCAAGGCGACGACGGGUAGCCGGCCUGAGAGGGCGACCGGCCACACUGGGACUGAGACACGGCCCAGACUCCUACGGGAGGCAGCAGUGGGGAAUAUUGCACAAUGGGCGAAAGCCUGAUGCAGCGACGCCGCGUGAGGGAUGACGGCCUUCGGG